rnacentral:rRNA from 1 species
CUGGCUCAGGACGAACGCUGGCGGCGUGCCUAACACAUGCAAGUCGAGCGGAGUCAGCAAGAGGAAGUUUUCGGAUGGAAUCUUGUUGAUUUAGCGGCGGACGGGUGAGUAACGCGUGAGCGACCAACCUUGCACAGGGGGAUAACGGACCGAAAGGUUCACUAAUACCGCAUGAGACCACGGUGUUGCAUGACACAGAGGUCAAAGGAGCAAUCCGGUGCAAGACGGGCUCGCGUCCGAUUAGGUAGUUGGAGGGGUAACGGCCCACCAAGCCUAUGAUCGGUAGCCGACCUGAGGGGGUGAUCGGCCACAUUGGAACUGAGAUACGGUCCAAACUCCUACGGGAGGCAGCAGUGGGGAAUAUUGGGCAAUGGGGGAAACCCUGACCCAGCAACGCCGCGUGAAGGAAGAAGGUUUUCGGAUUGUAAACUUCUGUCCUUGGUGAAGAGAAGAAGACGGUAGCCAAGGAGGAAGCCCCGGCUAACUACGUGCCAGCAGCCGCGGUAAUACGUAGGGGGCAAGCGUUGUCCGGAAUGAUUGGGCGUAAAGGGCGCGUAGGCGGCUUUGUAAGUCUGGAGUGAAGGUCCUCUUUUCAAGGGAGGAAUUGCUUUGGAAACUAUAGA